rnacentral:rRNA from 1 species
GAAACUUAAAGGAAUUGGCGGGGGAGCACCACAACCGGAGGAGCCUGCGGUUUAAUUGGACUCAACGCCGGACAUCUCACCGGUCCCGACAACAGUCACGACAGUCAGUUUAACGAACUUACUCGAGCUGUUGAGAGGAGGUGCAUGGCCGCCGUCAGCUCGUACCGUGAGGCGUCCUGUUAAGUCAGGCAACGAGCGAGACCCGCACUUCUAGUUGCCAGCAAUACCCUUGAGGUAGUUGGGUACACUAGGAGGACUGCCGCUGCUAAAGCGGAGGAAGGAACGGGCAACGGUAGGUCAGUAUGCCCCGAAUGGACCGGGCAACACGCGGGCUACAAUGGCUACGACAGUGGGAUGCUACCCCGAGAGGCGACCCUAAUCUCUAAACGUAGCCGUAGUUCGGAUUGCGGGCUGAAACUCGCCCGCAUAAAGCUGGAUUCGGUAGUAAUCGCGUGUCAUAAGCGCGCGGUGAAAACGUCCCUGCUCCUUGCACACACCGCCCGUCAAAGCACCCGAGUGGGGUCCGGAUGAGGCCAGGAUACCCUGGUCGAAUCUGGGCUCCGCAAGGGGGCUUAAGUCGUAACAA